rnacentral:rRNA from 1 species
GACAGAGGUGGCAAGCGUUGUUCGGAUUUACUGGGCGUAAAGAGUGCGUAGGUGGUGAGGUAAGACCUGUGGGAAAGACCUGGGCUUAACCCAGGAAGGUCGCAGGUGACUGCCUCGCUUGAGGACGGGAGAGGAGAGCGGAAUUCCCGGUGUAGCGGUGAAAUGCGUAGAGAUCGGGAAGAAGGCCGGUGGCGAAGGCGGCGACCUGGGCCAAUACUGACGCUGAGGUGCGAAAGCGUGGGGAGCAAACAGG